GAUGAACGCUAGCGGCAGGCUUAAUACAUGCAAGUCGAGGGACAGCACAGGUAGCAAUACUGGGUGGUAACCGGCAAACGGGUGCGGAACACGUACACAACCUUCCUUUAAGUGGGGGAUAGCUCAGAGAAAUUUGGAUUAAUACCCCGUAAUAUAGUUGAAUGGCAUCAUUUGAUUAUUAUAGCUACGGCGCUUAAAGAUGGGUGUGCGGCUGAUUAGAUAGUUGGCGGGGUAACGGCCCACCAAGUCUACGAUCAGUAGCUGAUGUGAGAGCAUGAUCAGCCAAACGGGCACUGAGACACGGGCCCGACUCCUACGGGAGGCAGCAGUAAGGAAUAUUGGUCAAUGGACGCAAGUCUGAACCAGCCAUGCCGCGUGAAGGAUUAAGGUCCUCUGGAUUGUAAACUUCUUUUAUUUGGGACGAAAAAGGGCCUUUCUAGGUCAACUGACGGUACCAGAUGAAUAAGCACCGGCUAACUCCGUGCCAGCCGCCGCCGUAAAAC
rnacentral:rRNA from 1 species